rnacentral:rRNA from 1 species
AACGAACGCUGGCGGCAUGCCUAACACAUGCAAGUCGAACGAGACCUUCGGGUCUAGUGGCGCACGGGUGCGUAACGCGUGGGAACCUGCCCUUAGGUUCGGAAUAACUCCCCGAAAGGGGUGCUAAUACCGGAUAAUGUCUUCGGACCAAAGAUUUAUCGCCUUUGGAUGGGCCCGCGUUGGAUUAGCUAGUUGGUAGGGUAAAAGCCUACCAAGGCGACGAUCCAUAGCUGGUCUGAGAGAUGAUCAGCCACACUGGGACUGAGACACGGCCCAGACUCCUACGGGAGGCAGCAGUGGGGAAUAUUGGACCAUGGGCGAAAGCCUGAUCCAGCAAUGCCGCGUGAGUGAUGAAGGCCUUAGGGUUGUAAAGCUCUUUUACCCGGGAUGAUAAUGACAGUACCGGGAGAAUAAGCUCCGGCUAACUCCGUG